GAUGAACGCUGGCGGCGUGCUUAACACAUGCAAGUCGAACGGAAAGGCUCCUGCUUGCAGGGGUACUCGAGUGGCGAACGGGUGAGUAACACGUGGGUGAUCUGCCCUUCACUUCGGGAUAAGCCUGGGAAACUGGGUCUAAUACCGGAUAGGACGAUGGUUUGGAUGCCAUUGUGGAAAGUUUUUUCGGUGUGGGGUGAGCUCGCGGCCUAUCAGCUUGUUGGUGGGGUAAUGGCCUACCAAGGCGUCGACGGGUCGCCGGCCUGAGAGGGUGUACGGCCACAUUGGGACUGAGAUACGGCCCAGACUCCUACGGGAGGCAGCAGUGGGGAAUAUUGCACAAUGGGCGCAAGCCUGAUGCAGCGACGCCGCGUGGGGGAUGACGUCCUUCGGGUUGUAAACUCCUUUCGCUAGGGACGAAGCGCAAGUGACGGUACCUGGAGAAGAAGCACCGGCUAACUACGUG
rnacentral:rRNA from 1 species